rnacentral:rRNA from 1 species
AUGAAGGCACGGCCGUCGGGGAGGAUCUGGUUGGUGGCGUACCACCGGUUCGCGGCGAGCGCGUCCUGCGUCUCGUUCCAGUCGCAGCUGCCGCCGUCGUCGUCUCCGCCGUCGCACGCGCGCAUGGCGCGCACGUUGCGGUACCCGUCGUUCCACCCGCCGGUCUGGACGAGGGUGCCGUCAGGCGCGACGGUGCCCGAGGAGCACCAGGUGUCGGUGAAGACGGUGAGCGGGCGGAACGUGUUGGACGCGACGUCGUACUCGGCGGAGUGCGCGGUGCAGUCGACGGGGAGCACGCGCUCCCUGGGGUUGCGGCGGCAGCGGCCGUCGGGGAGGGAGAGGUUGGACUGCCCGAAGUCGGUGCGGUCGAAGAUGAUGACGCGGUCGUUGUGCAGGAGCUGCAUGUGCAUCGCCGACACGCCGAUGCUGCGCUGCAGUACGUCCCACCGACCGCCGCCGCCGCUCUCUGCCGUCGCCGGUGCAAUGCCGGCGCAGGCGAGGGCCAGGACAAGAACGAGGUCGCGGAUAGGCAAUGCAGGAGGCUUCAUGGUCGCCCGUGACGAUCAGGCCUUGUCCGUAUGGUGGUUGACUGUAUCCGAAUGUUUGGCUCGUGGGCAGCGAAGGCUGUAUGGAUCUGUGCUCGUGACAGUGGCCGCCCUUAUAUGCACGGACCAACGAUACAGUACAGUAUUGACGAUCUUCGUUGGUGAUGGCGUCUUAAGGCUCCGGAUUCCGUUCAGCGAGGAGUCGCGGCCAUUAUUUUUGGCAGGAUGGUUUGAUUCUGACAUUGAUUUUGGGGCUGGGUCCUGUAUUAACUUGCUGUUUAUGAUGUUUUGA